rnacentral:lncRNA from 1 species
CACUGAAUGGUUGAUUGUCGUGCCAAAUUGAGAAAGGGUGGCUGGAAGAAGCUGAGAUAGGAUCUGCAUACCAUGCCAGAAAUCAGUGAAAUGUGCUCUUGGGAGUACUUCAAAUGUGGGCAUGGCAGAUCUUUCUGGUGAAAAGUUUUGAGACAGUUUAAGCUAUGGUUCUAGUUACAUCUGACUCUGAGUUAGGCAGCAUGCAAGACAGAGGUUGCAGAGUGACAGCACUGGAUGAAAUCCCUGGCAGAGCCUUGCUGAUGGUCAGACACAAGAAAUAA